GGGCCAUAGCUCAGUGGUAGAACAUCUGCUUUGCAUGCUGAAGGUCCCUGGUUCAAUCCUUGGGAUCUCCA